GUAUGAUGUGUGUGAGUGCUGAGUGUGAUGUGUGUGAGAGUGAUGUGCCUGAGUGCUGAGUGCUGUGUGUGAGAGUGUUGAGUGCUGUGUGUGAGAGUGUUGUGUGAUGUGUGUGAGAGUGCUGAGUGUGAAAGUGCUGUGUGUGAAAGUGCUAUGAUGUGUGUGAGAGUGCUGCGAUGUGUGAGAUUGCUGUGUAUGAUGUGUGUGAGAGUGCUAUGAUGUGUGUGAGAGUGCU